AAUCCGUCGACUUUAUAAAUCGUGAGGGUUCAAGUCC
rnacentral:tRNA from 2 species